UUGAUAACUUUCAUCUUCUUAUAAAACAUUUGAAAACGCACAUUAAUAAAAAUCAACAAAUCCACAGUCCGUUUCAAAAUUGCAAAAGUAGGUAUUCUGUGUUAUCUUCUUUUACCAAUCACAUAUCAAAAAUCCAUAAAAAUCGUGCUGUUCAAAUAAGGAAAGAUAAAACACCAAAACUAUUAGU